rnacentral:rRNA from 1 species
CAAUAGCGUAUAUUAAAGUUGUUGCAGUUAAAAAGCUCGUAGUUGGAUUUCUGGUGGGAGCGAUCGGUCUGGCGCUUAGCGCGAGUACUUGCAUCGUCUCCGGCCAUCCUUGGGGAAAGUCUGUCUGGCAUUAAGUUGUCGGGCAGAGGAUCCUCAUCGUUUACUGUGAAAAAAUUAGAGUGUUCAAAGCAGGCUUAUGCCGUUGAAUAUAUUAGCAUGGAAUAAUAAGAUAGGACUUUGGUACUAUUUUGUUGGUUUGCGCACCAAAGUAAUGAUUAAUAGGGACUGUUGGGGGUAUUCGUAUUCCGUUGUCAGAGGUGAAAUUCUUGGAUUUACGGAAGACGAACUACUGCGAAAGCAUUUACCAAGGAUGUUUUCAUUAA